UGGUAGCGCCCUCCCGAAGGUUAAGCUACCUACUUCUUUUGCAACCCACUCCCAUGGUGUGACGGGCGGUGUGUACAAGGCCCGGGAACGUAUUCACCGUAGCAUUCUGAUCUACGAUUACUAGCGAUUCCGACUUCAUGGAGUCGAGUUGCAGACUCCAAUCCGGACUACGACGCACUUUAUGAGGUCCGCUUGCUCUCGCGAGGUCGCUUCUCUUUGUAUGCGCCAUUGUAGCACGUGUGUAGCCCUGGCCGUAAGGGCCAUGAUGACUUGACGUCAUCCCCACCUUCCUCCGGUUUAUCACCGGCAGUCUCCUUUGAGUUCCCGGCCGAGCCGCUGGCAACAAAGGAUAAGGGUUGCGCUCGUUGCGGGACUUAACCCAACAUUUCACAACACGAGCUGACGACAGCCAUGCAGCACCUGUCUCAGAGUUCCCGAAGGCACCAAAGCAUCUCUGCUAAGUUCUCUGGAUGUCAAGGCCAGGUAAGGUUCUUCGCGUUGCAUCGAAUUAAACCACAUGCUCCACCGCUUGUGCGGGCCCCCGUCAAUUCAUUUGAGUUUUAACCUUGCGGCCGUACUCCCCAGGCGGUCGACUUAACGCGUUAGCUCCGGAAGCCACGCCUCACGGGCACAACCUCCAAGUCGACAUCGUUUACGGCGUGGGACUACCAGGGUAUCUAAUCCUGUUUGCU
rnacentral:rRNA from 1 species